CCUUACCGGGUUUAUGAGAUCCAGAGAAGUUUAGAGAGAUGGGUGUGGUGUUCUUCGGGAAAUGUGAGAUGAGGUGAUGCAUGGAUGUUGUCAGCUUGUGUUGUGAAAGUGUUGGGGUUAAGUAACCGGAAGGGAGUGGCAACCAUUUAUGCUUGUGUUGGCUAGAGGUUGGGGCGGGGGAAAAUUAAAGGAGAUUGCCAGUGAUAAACUGGAGGAAGGUGGGGAUGAGGUCAAGUGAUCAUGGGCGGUUAGGACCAGGGCUACACAAGUGUAGGCAAUGGCGCAUACAAAGAGAAGUGACCUCGCGAGAGCAAGCGGACCUCAUAAAGUGUGUCGUAGUCAGGAUUGGAGUCUGCAACUUGACUGCAUGAAGUAGGAAUUGCUGGUAAUGGUGGAUCAGAAUGUCACGGUGAAUAUGUUUCAGGGCGUUGUACACACCGCCCGUCACAGCAUGGGAGUGGGUUGCAAAAGAAGUA
rnacentral:rRNA from 1 species